rnacentral:rRNA from 1 species
GGAAUUUUGGACAAUGGGCGCAAGCCUGAUCCAGCAAUGCCGCGUGAGUGAAGAAGGCCUUCGGGUUGUAAAGCUCUUUUGUCAGGGAAGAAACGGUGGAGGCUAAUAUCCUCUGCUAAUGACGGUACCUGAAGAAUAAGCACCGGCUAACUACGUGCCAGCAGCCGCGGUAAUACGUAGGGUGCAAGCGUUAAUCGGAAUUACUGGGCGUAAAGCGUGCGCAGGCGGUUUUGUAAGUCUGAUGUGAAAUCCCCGGGCUCAACCUGGGAAUUGCAUUGGAGACUGCAAGGCUAGAAUCUGGCAGAGGGGGGUAGAAUUCCACGUGUAGCAGUGAAAUGCGUAGAUAUGUGGAGGAACACCGAUGGCGAAGGCAGCCCCCUGGGUCAAGAUUGACGCUCAUGCACGAAAGCGUGGGGAGCAAACAGGAUUAGAUACCCUGG